UUUCACCAGAAGAGCAGUCAUAUGUUACUAAGAUUCUUGUUUUCAUUAUUCAUGGUUUACACUUGAGAAUUCAGCAAGUUAAAUGCUUUAGAAUCUAUUAUGAAUAGUCUCUGUUCUUUUUAAAAAACAAAGAAUAUUGUUUGUGUUAAAAUGAGAUUCUUCAAUCCAAAAUAUUUUCUUGGUUCCAACCCUCCACAUACGAAGUGCCAGAAAGCUUCAUCCCUAGAUAAAGAAGGUGAGACUGGAGGAGGAAUCAAAUGUUAACCAAGCUCCCAAGUCUCUUCCUCCACACUUUUCUAUAACUCAAAAUGUUGCCAUUUGGAUGAGAACAGUGAAAAGAAUAAUGCCUGAGAAAAGUAACAGACCAUUGCAUUGGAUUUCCUCACCUGAAAGAAUUCCCAAAAGUUGAGAACCCCUGUUAGAUUAACCAUGAGUGCCUAACAUAGUCCAUGUCCAGCCCUCAGUUCUGGCCACACCUUUUUGUAUGGUCAGAGCCCCUGGCAUGAAUGCUCUUUCACUAAAAUACCAAAAUGUCCAAAAAGGCUUACAAGCUACUGUGUGGCAAGGAGAAGGAUGCUGCAAUGGUGGUCAGAGGAGAGAGUAAGACCCAAAGCUCAGCAUUUUAAAUGACAGUGAAUGCUACUGCACUGCACAGGUGCAUCCAAGGACAAAGGUAUAAUCUGCUAAUUAAGGGACAGCUCUCCUUUCUUUGAAUGAUUCCCAUAGAGGAUCACUGCCAGAGCCCGCAUUUCUUCUAUCUGCCUUACAGAUUCACCAUGAGAAAAGGGGAAGACCAGAAAAAUUAAAAAUCACAUUCAUGGAAAGCUGCCAGAUAACAGUUAUUUAAUAGGUACUUGGCAUUCAUGACCUAAUUUAAUUUUCAUUAUAACAUUGUGCGAUAGACGUUAUUAUCCCUAUUAUAUAGACAAUAAAAUUGGGGUUUGAAGAUUUUAAGUAAGACCAAGGACAAUUAAGUAUAGCACUGGGAUUAGAACCUAGGACUGUCAGAGACUCCAAACAUUCUUCAUUCCUUUGUCUACAACAUCAUGGUAUCUUAAAAUGCUUUCAUAUCUGUUUGGUAUCCACUGCCCAUCCGCCCAGAAGAAUGGAGAGGACACAAGGGAGAACUUGUAUCAGGAAAAAAGGUAUUUCAAAUAAUCCUAAUAAAGGCACCUGGAUAGCCAUGGGCCAGCAUUAAACUUGUGAGAACCUCCAAAAAAAUUAUAAGCAAAAAUGGGGUUCAAUUAAAAACAAAUUGUAUUUCCCAUUUUUACCCCCAACCAUAAUUACUCCAAUCAUCUCUCCCCAUAAAUCUCAUGAGUCUUAGAGACAAAAGAACUCUCUUACCAACAAUUAUCGACACUUAAUUUUAAGCUAACCCAACACAUUGAUGACUCUUCACUCGUGUUGUAGAUUUGAUUCUUCCCUAUAUAAUGGGAAUGAUUAGAACGGACAGGCAUUCAAUAAACCUUGCCUAGCUCUUUCCAUUUCACCAGAUUGAAAAGGUUAUUUUAGGUUACUUUUUCUAAAGUUUUAACAAGAGAAAAGAACAAUGACUCAGAUACUAUUUCAUGGAAAUGUUUUUUGAAAGCAAUCUUAACACAGUACACUGUUAAGCCUCAGUACUGAUGCAAGCAGUCCAUCCAAAACUGGCAAGAUCCGUCUGAAUUUUUAGAAAACAAAAGAUAUCUGACCUUUUAAGGACUCCCAAUAUUUUUCCAUGUUCUCGGAUAUUUUUUAAUCUCUUUAACUAAUCCUCCUUCAUUGUGUUAAGAACCUGCUAAUGCUGAUGGCUGUUCCUGCAGCACUAACUUUUAGGCUGCUAAUUUUAGGUAUAGCCAAUGGACAGUGCUUGCGUGUCUAUAGCCAUCUUCAAUUAUCUAGUUGUUGAAAGCAGAACAAUUAAGAAUGCACCAUAAACUGAAUGGCAAUAAACACAUUGCCUAUUUCUGUUUUAUUUCCAACUUUUAUUGUAAGUUCAUGGGUACGUGUGCAGGAUGUGCAGGUUUGUUACAUAGGUAAAUGUCUGCCAUGAUGCUUUGCUGCACAGAUCAUCCUAUCACCUAGGUAGUAAGGCCAGCAUCCAAUAGCUAUUAUUCCUGAUGCUCUCCCUCCUCCCACGCCCCCACCCUACAACAGGCCCCAGUGUGUGUUGUUCUCCCCUAUGUGUCCAUAUGUUCUCAUCAUUCAGUUCCCACUUAUAAGUGAGAACAGGCAGUAUUUGGUUUUCUGUUCCUGCAUUAGUUUGCUGAGGAUACGGGCUUCCAGCUCCAUUCAUGUCCCUGCAAAGGACAUGAUAUUGUUUCUUUUUAUGGCUGCAUAGUAUUCCAUGGUGUAUAAAGUUACUUGUAUUUGAGAAUACAGUCAUUUGCCAAUUCACCUCAUGAAGCUCACCAAAAUGAACAGAGUUCUGGAAUCUUUCACAACUAUUUUCUAAAUGGUAAAUGGCUUUGUUUAUACUGUUUAGGUAAAAUGUAACUUGACAUAAUACACCUUAAUAAAAAUUAAAACUGAUACAAAAAAAAUUCUAGCAAAUAGGAGACUGAGAAAAUACUAGCUUUAGGGUUACUAACUGUAUUAUGUGAGUGCAUGCAAAUAGGUUUUGUGGAUUAACUCUAAGAUUCUAAUAGAUAAAUAGGUAAACACUUGGCUGGUGGCAGCGGCAAACAGUGCAUAACCCUUUUAAAAGCAAUUUGGCAAUCUGUACCAAAAACCUUAAAAAUCUGCCUCUUUUAACCAACUUUGAUUCUACUGCUAGUGCCCUGGAAUUACUCUAAUCAUGUGGCCAUGGCAAGCCUUAAACACAGCUGGGCUACAUUUGAGAUUUUAUGGUGAAAAAUGAGAGAAAAUCAAUAUGCUGUUUGACAAUAAUUAUGUAAACUAUGGCAUGCCCCCCUUGUAGCAUAUUUCACCAUCACCAUAAACAAUAUGACUAUCAAUGAUUAUACAUUUGUAAUUAUAAAUUAUAACACUACAAAUGAUUAAUACAAUUAUGAUGACAUAAAAUGCAUAAAGUAUACACACACAUAGUGUGAUUACUUCUUGAUUAAAAACACACAAAUACAAACAUAACAAAAAGACUUUAAAAAACUACAUCAAAAUACUAAUAGUGGUAAUUUAUUAAUAGGGAGAUUAUAGGACUAUGGUUCUGAAUAAUAUUUAUUAAAUUAUAUUUUCAAGUCUACACUAUUUGCACAAUUUUUAUAAUUUAAAAAAUUUAAAUAGUAAAAAUAAAAUGUAAAAUAUCACAGGAAAAUAACUUUCCAACCAAAACCACACACAAAUGGAAUGUAAAUAUAUUUUGGUGUCAUUUUCAAGAUAAUAUAAUUUUACUUAGUUCAACAAAAACCUUGAGAAUAUUUAGCCCAAUCAGUGCUUUUUGUUUCUUUUCAAAGCCUUACUUUGGAGGAAGUAUUACAGUGGGCCCAGUCUUUUGAAAAUUUAAUGGCUACAAAAUAUGGUCCAGUAGUCUAUGCAGCAUAUUUAAAAAUGGAGCACAGUGACGAGAAUAUUCAAUUCUGGAUGGCAUGUGAAACCUAUAAGAAAAUUGCCUCACGGUGGAGCAGAAUUUCUAGGGCAAAGAAGCUUUAUAAGAUUUACAUCCAGCCACAGUCCCCUAGAGAGGUAACUACCUGACAAUGACAGGAAUGGAAAUCAGUUCAUCCCUGCAAGGGCAUUAAUAUCUGUCAAGCAUCCAUAAGUGCCAGGCACUUUACAUCCAGUAUCUCCUAAAAUGCUAUAAAUUCAGUAUUGCUAACCUUAUUUUACAGAUAAGAAACCUGAGACUCUGAGAACUUGUCCAGUGUCACACAGCCAUUAAGUGGUAAAGUUAAGAUUCAAAAUUAAAUCUAUCUGGCUCCAAAGCUUCUCCCCAUUAAAUUAUCUUAAUUUCUAGGAAACUUAAAAAGAAAAAAAGGAAUCUGUGGCGAAAGCAUUGGCCUUCCCAGCAGGAACUAUAAAUACCAUGAAGAGACAUUUGAGAAUCCUGUGUUGUUGGGCAAUGAGAAAUAAAAAGUCUGUUAAGGGAAUAAAGAGAGAGGACAGUAUAUGAGAUUUCUAUCGUACAGGGCAAGCCUACAUUGUGGACAUAUUCCAGAACUCUUAUCUGGAACAUACUUGGUUUAUUGAAAUAGCCACUUCUCCCCUCUAUUUAUCCACUUCUCUUCAUUUUCUUCCCAUUUCAGAGCAUAUUCAGUUAAAUCAACAUUUGUGACUAUUAAGGAAGAUAAAUUUUUAAAAAGCACCAAUUUCUCUUUUCUUUAAAAAGACGUUUGUCUUACAAACUUCCUGAUUUGUAGACUGCUACUAAGAAACCACUGCAUCUUCCUGAGUAAGCCAUGGUUUCGGAAACUUCCCUGGCCUUGAGCCUCAUAUUUUUCUUUUUUGUUCCUCUUGGAUGUGGAGUUGGAUAUUUACUUUUAAAAAAGCAAAAUGUUUAUUUUUUAUAUAUCUUCUUAGAUGCCUAUAAAACUACAAAGAAAAUUACCCUAUUCCACUGAAAAGGAGAGCAGGGAAUAAAUUAAACCUUUCUACUAUAGGUGCCUUUUUCUUAACUAUGCUUACUUAUGCUGUACAUGUAAUUUCACUUUUCAGAUUAACAUUGACAGUUCGACAAGAGAGACUAUCAUCAGGAACAUUCAGGAACCCACUGAAACAUGUUUUGAAGAAGCUCAGAAAAUAGUCUAUAUGCAUAUGGAAAGGGAUUCCUAUCCCAGAUUUCUAAAGUCAGAAAUGUACCAAAAACUGUUGAAAACUAUGCAGUCCAACAACAGUUUCUGACUACAAUUCAAAAGUUUAAAUAGAAAACAGUAUAUUGAAAGUGGUGGGUUUGAUCUUUUUAUUUAGAAACCCACAAAAUCAGGAACACAGUACAAAUAAAACAGAAAUCAAACUAUAAGUUGACUUUUAGUUCCUAAAAAGAAACAUAUUUCAAAAGCAAUGGAAUCUAGAAUUCUUAUAACAUGAAUAACAAAAUGUACAGCAUACCUAUGUAGUUCAAUUAAUAUAUAAGGAAAAGGAAGGUCUUUCUUCAUGAUACAAGCAUUAUAAAGUUUUUACUGUAGUAGUCAAUUAAUGGAUAUUUCCUUGUUAAUAAAAUUUUGUGUCAUAAUUUACAAA
rnacentral:sRNA from 1 species